rnacentral:rRNA from 1 species
UACGUAGGGUGCAAGCGUUAAUCGGAAUUACUGGGCGUAAAGCGUGCGCAGGCGGUGAUGUAAGACAGUUGUGAAAUCCCCGGGCUCAACCUGGGAACUGCAUCUGUGACUGCAUCGCUGGAGUGCGGCAGAGGGGGAUGGAAUUCCGCGUGUAGCAGUGAAAUGCGUAGAUAUGCGGAGGAACACCGAUGGCGAAGGCAAUCCCCUGGGCUGACACUGACGCUCAGGCACGAAAGCGUGGGGAGCAAACAGG